rnacentral:rRNA from 1 species
GACGAACGCUGGCGGCGUGCUUAACACAUGCAAGUCGAACGGAAAGGCCCUGCUUUUGUGGGGUGCUCGAGUGGCGAACGGGUGAGUAACACGUGAGUAACCUGCCCUUGACUUUGGGAUAACUUCAGGAAACUGGGGCUAAUACCGGAUAGGAGCUCCUGCUGCAUGGUGGGGGUUGGAAAGUUUCGGCGGUUGGGGAUGGACUCGCGGCUUAUCAGCUUGUUGGUGGGGUAGUGGCUUACCAAGGCUUUGACGGGUAGCCGGCCUGAGAGGGUGACCGGCCACAUUGGGACUGAGAUACGGCCCAGACUCCUACGGGAGGCAGCAGUGGGGAAUAUUGGACAAUGGGCGAAAGCCUGAUCCAGCCAUGCCGCGUGUGUGAAGAAGGCCUUUUGGUUGUAAAGCACUUUAAGCGAGGAGGAGGCUACUUAGAUUAAUACUCUAGGAUAGUGGACGUUACUCGCAGAAUAAGCACCGGCUAACUCUGUGCCAGCAGCCGCGGUAAUACAGAGGGUGCGAGCGUUAAUCGGAUUUACUGGGCGUAAAGCGUGCGUAGGCGGCUUCUUAAGUCGGAUGUGAAAUCCCUGAGCUUAACUUAGGAAUUGCAUUCGAUACUGGGAAGCUAGAGUAUGGGAGAGGAUGGUAGAAUUCCAGGUGUAGCGGUGAAAUGCGUAGAGAUCUGGAGGAAUACCGAUGGCGAAGGCAGCCUUCUGGCCUAAUACUGACGCUGAGGUACGAAAGCAUGGGGAGCAAACAGGAUUAGAUACCCUGGUAGUCCAUGCCGUAAACGAUGUCUACUAGCCGUUGGGGCCUUUGAGGCUUUAGUGGCGCAGCUAACGCGAUAAGUAGACCGCCUGGGGAGUACGGUCGCAAGACUAAAACUCAAAUGAAUUGACGGGGGCCCGCACAAGCGGUGGAGCAUGUGGUUUAAUUCGAUGCAACGCGAAGAACCUUACCUGGUCUUGACAUAGUAAGAACUUUCCAGAGAUGGAUUGGUGCCUUCGGGAACUUACAUACAGGUGCUGCAUGGCUGUCGUCAGCUCGUGUCGUGAGAUGUUGGGUUAAGUCCCGCAACGAGCGCAACCCUUUUCCUUAUUUGCCAGCGGGUUAAGCCGGGAACUUUAAGGAUACUGCCAGUGACAAACUGGAGGAAGGCGGGGACGACGUCAAGUCAUCAUGGCCCUUACGACCAGGGCUACACACGUGCUACAAUGGUCGGUACAAAGGGUUGCUACCUAGCGAUAGGAUGCUAAUCUCAAAAGGCCGAUCGUAGUCCGGAUUGGAGUCUGCAACUCGACUCCAUGAAGUCGGAAUCGCUAGUAAUCGCGGAUCAGAAUGCCGCGGUGAAUACGUUCCCGGGCCU